AUCGGCUUGUAUGUGCUUUCUAGUGUGUUCCAUCGCUGAAGCCGGUGGGGCUGGUGGAGCCGGUGGUCGAUUGUCAGUUGUCAGUUGUUGGGUUUUGAUGGUGGUGGUGACACCUGCGUGCUAGAUGUGCAAUCUUUGCCUCUGAUUUUCCAAGUGGUUUUCUGGUGGGUGUCUGGAUGGUGCUAUGGACAGAGGUUUCUGGAUUGGCUGUGGCCUUUUACUGCAUUGGACUUUUCAGACCUAGUGAUGUAAACUCUUUUGAUUUGUGGGCUUUGGGCUUGGCCAAUGUUCUUAAGUUUAAACCCUUGUAUCAAUUGCCUUUUUAUAGGUAUUUUAAUACAACCUACUUGUUGUAUGGUAAUAAAUAAAUAAAUAAAUAAAACUCAGCCCUUAGAUCAUAAA